AAAACAAAAGACAUAAAAAGAUAUCAAAAUAAGAUUUUAUUGUAGAAAAACUAAUCUUAAAAAUUUAUAGAAUAUAAAGAAGCAUAAUUAUAAUAUUAUAAUAAAUUAUAAGAGGUUAUUUUUGUCUUUAUAUUCAAAAAUUAAUCAUUUUAUUCUAACAAGAAAGUAUUAGAUGUAAUAAGGACUUAUAUUAGUAAUAUAAUUAUAAAU
rnacentral:lncRNA from 1 species